GUGCCUAGCAAGUGCUAGAGCUAAAGAAAUUAAAGAAAUAACUGAGACACGGCCCUGCCCUCUAAGAGAUGUAGUAGGAAAUAUUAGAUAUCUGGAAAUAUCCAAAAGUAAAAUAUCCAAAAAUACAAUAAACAAAGUUAAAUGUUUUAAUCAAUGCUACCAGAACACAGAGAAAGAGGAGGUGGCUCACAUUGGGAAGAUGAAGGGACACUCACAAGGGAAGCUGGCAUUUUAAUCACGUCUUGGAUGAAUACGGAAUUUGGACAUCCAGAGAUGUAGCAAGAAUGACAUUCCAGUUUCACCGUGCUGUGCAUGAAGAUGUCCGUAAUACUUUAGUGAAAGUGAGGGAAUUGUCUACUGGGACAUCCACCCCUACAUGAGGCUGCAGGAGAAGAUGUCUACAGAUCAGCCCAUGACCUCGGCACAGCAGGUUCCACAGAGGUAUAUGCUGUCUUUACGUAAAGCUUGGCUGUACGUUUCCAGGAAUCCUCUCCAUUGGCCCCUUAGAAAUCUACAUAGGUGUCUAUGUUCCAGUUGAUAUGAAACACUGUCAUACAAAACCAGAUUGAAAAAAACCUAAAUGUGCUUUACUGUCUCUUUAGCUUAAUCUGCAAUCUCGGAUAGUAACUAGGAGUCAAAAAUUACUUUCCCCAACUAAGAAGUCUAUAUAGGAAACAAACACAGAGCAGCCUGGUGGUUAGGAAUUUUAGGUCCCUCUUUGCCAUAAACUUGCUAAAUACAACUUAGAUAGAGUCAUUUCCCCUCUCUGGGUCUGGUUCUCUCCAAUGGGUAUAAUCUUCAGUCUCCUAAUGCGUGUUUCUUACGGGAAACAAAGGGAGCAGGAGAGGUAAAAUCACUCAAGUAAUUUGUGAACAGCAACAUGCAUAAAGGGGACACACAAUCCAUGCUCACCCUCCUCUUCCUCAUCAUCACAGCUAAGAUUUAUUGAGUCAGGCCCUGUUCUAAAUGCUUCAAAUGCACCUCACCCUCCCAACCUCCUGCUCAGGUAGCUACUCUUAUCGUCCUCAUUCAGCGAUGACGAAAUUGAAGCCUGGAAUCGUAAGUAUAGUGCUCAAGGUAUCACAGCCAGGAUUCAAACACAACUACAGUUCAUGGCCUUGACUGUUAUACGACGUGUGGCAUUAUGAGGGUUGCACUGUCGGUGUUUUCUCUUCUCUAUUUUCUAAACUUCUGGCCAUGUUGUUAUGUUGCUCUCGUAAGUUAAAAUUAAAAUUUAUUAAUCCAAAUCGUAUUUACUGAGCCGGCACAAGGUGGCAGACACUGCAUUAGUCAGCACUUUGAUUAGAAAGGUGAAGAUAAAAUUAGACAUGCAAAACACCCCAUGGCACAGUAGCAUAAACUGACGUUAAAUGUAGCUGAUACUAUUUCUUCUCUAUGGAAAAGACACGGACAGACGUAUCCUAAAGGGUAAGAAAAAGGGUCUUGGAUGAAGAUAAACACAGUGAUAAGAGGUAACCAUAAUUACCAACUAAAAAUGUGCAGGCAUUGUACUACAUCAAUGUUCUACAAAUUACAUGAAAUAGCAUUAGACCUCUUUCUCCAAAUGAGGAAAACAGAGGCCCCGGAAGGUUAGAUAGAUUGUCUACAGUCUUGUAGGUAGUACAGGGAGAGCCAAGAUUCAAAUCCUGGACUGUCUGGCUCUAGUGUCUGUGCUCUUAACCACGAAACUACAUCUAGGAGAGGGAGGAGGAUGGGGAAGGAGAGAAGAAUGCCGUGACUAUUCUUUUAUUCUACCUGGUUCCGACUACAGGGAUUUUGGUGAGUGUUUAUAGAACCCAUCUAUAUGUCACACUGUUAUUUAUCAUCCUUUAAAAUGUGUUAUUGCUUGUGCUUGAAGGGAACAUAGAAAUUAGGCCAACCUCUCGCUUCCAACUUGUGGAUUAAAGAAACUUGGAACAUUUUGCAGAAUGUUAAAAACAAUUAGAGGUAAAAUUGGGAAACAAAUGAAAACUUCUCUUUAAACAAGUGGAGCAGUCCCUUUAAAGCCACAUAUUUUUCACUUCUAAGGGUAUAUCACACCUGCAUUACUAUGGCAAACUUAGAAGCUUGUCAGUUUAGCUUGGCCAAGUUCUAACUUCCAAAGUGAAAUCCUAACCCACAGCAAACAGCAAGGAGGUCAGAUGGAAGCUGAGAUGUCAGCUACUAUAACAAAUACCGGAGUCAGAACCAGAAGACUAGGAUUUCAGCCCUCAAUCUGCCACAUACUAGUCACAUGACCUAGCAUAUGUCACCUGAUCUCUCUAGACCUUAUUCUGGACCAAGUGGGUUCUACCUAUACUUCACAGAGUAGGUUUGAAGAUAACUACCCUUGGAAGCAUUAUAGAAACCUUUUAAGAGUUUGUCAAAUGUAAAUAUGGUCAAUAUAUUGAAGACAUGGUCUAUGAUGGAAUAGGUUUACCUUGUGAUCAGUCAGGGAAAGAGAGACAGUGAUUUCACAGGUCAGAGAAGCAUACCAAUCUUAAGAACCCCAUUCUGCGUUGCCUACGCUCACUCACUGAGCCAAAAAACGAACCCAGAUCUCCUGACAUACCAUCAUGUGUUAAUCAGACAAAAAAGUACUAGUAUCUUUCCUCGCAGUUUCUCUGAUGUAACAGCAAACCACUUACAAACACAUAGCACGAGGAGCUUUAUGACUUUGGGCAAGUCACUUUACUUUUGUGGGUCUCAGUCUCCUUGGUGACUGAAUGAAUACAGUAAAGUGUUCAAAUUCCAACCAUAUGGACUUCAGGAAUGAGUGACAUCAUGAAUUGUGAAAAUGUGGAAACAACAAAACGUCAGACAAAGACCAGGGACAGCCAACACCACCCCUUUAAGCUACUGUGAGAAGGACUCAGUCACUUGCGAAUACAAUUAUAAGCACAGGCAAAUCAACUUCUCCUGCCAAGUUUUGUUGCCCUCGAUGAAGUGAUAGCAUUUUGGCCAGAGAGAAAAUUUCGUCAUUGUCCUUUGACUUUGCUUCUGACUUUUACAAGAUGCAUGCCUGGGAUUCAGGGACUGAGGAUCCAGAAGGCAAUACAGUCCUGACUGCAGUUCACAGCCUGGGGUAAGCAACUUGAUCACUGCCCAAGCAGAGAAGAGAUCUGCCAGCUACAGAUCCUAGGCUGAAAUCCCCCCAACCUACAGGCACCAGAGCACACAGGCCUUCCAACCAGCCAGACAUCAGAAGUAUACUUCCUGAAGCCUACCACAGGCCAGGCACUGUGAUACAGAAAGAAACAGAUUACAAAGCUCCUGCUGUGUCAAGCACAUCCUAUCCUCUCAUUUAAUCUUUCCACAUCCUCAGUA